GCUGCAUAACAUUCCCAACGAGAGCUCUACUAGCUUUGGAGUGCAUCUCACAAACUUUAUGCCGCCUAUGGUAGUCUUUAGCUUUACUUAGAUCGGUCCCACAAUCAUCAACCUGACAUACAGCUCUUGUAGUACCAGUAACAGGUGCAGGUGCAGGUGCAGCAGCAGCCAAUUUUGUCCUUUUUUCAGCUACAGGCUCAGCUUGUCCACCAAGCUUCAACGAAAGGGUCCCACCGGAAUCAUUUUCAUCAACGAUAAUCACCCUUCUCCUUUUCUCCAGUUCCCUCCUCUGUUGUUCUAUCCCAUGAUUUGUUUCGUCUGAACAGGAAGAUGAACUGUUGGAUGAAGCCACCAGAUUCCCAGUUUCGACUGGAAAAAACUGCCUGCUCUGGUAAUUAUUAGAAGGGUUUUGACGAAGAGGAGUCGCAAUAAAAAGAUCUCCGUCCCAUUUCCAAUCAGUUACAUCCCACUCUAAGCUCCUCUUCCCUAAUCCUCGCAGAUCCGGUCCUCCCAUAUGGUAAUAACGCUCUCCCACACUCGCUUCCAUCUAAGCUCCUUUUUGUGUGUGUGCACGCGCGCGUUUGAAGAUCUAAAUCCGGAGAUUUAGGUGAUUGAUGAUCGGACAAGUUUGAAUAACAGAUCAAAAGUCAAAAUUGAGAAGAAAUAAAAAAGAAGAAAGAUGAGAACUAAUCACUAAUCAGCUUCGGUACGACCCCAAAAGUCGAGUACAAAGAGAUGACAACCAUGAUACCGAUUAACAGCAAGCCACAUACCCACACCUAAUUUCAGCGUUGACUAAGGAAAAGACUCGUGAAUUUGAAGCAUCUAGAACCGGAAAUCAGAUAAUUUAGCUCAACAAAGAAGAAAGAACUUCUUUCCGGCGGUCAGGAAACGGCGGGAAGAAGGGGACGGCGGCGACCGACGGUGAAGAAAGGACAAAGGAAGGUGGUUAGGGAGUUGGGAGGUGGGAGGUGGGGGA
rnacentral:lncRNA from 1 species